rnacentral:rRNA from 1 species
GAUGAACGCUGGCGGCGUGCCUAAUACAUGCAAGUCGAGCGAAUGGAUUGAGAGCUUGCUCUUAUGAAGUUAGCGGCGGACGGGUGAGUAACACGUGGGUAACCUGCCCAUAAGACUGGGAUAACUCCGGGAAACCGGGGCUAAUACCGGAUAACAUUUUGAACCGCAUGGUUCGAAAUUGAAAGGCGGCUUCGGCUGUCACUUAUGGAUGGACCCGCGUCGCAUUAGCUAGUUGGUGAGGUAACGGCUCACCAAGGCAACGAUGCGUAGCCGACAUGAGAGGGUGAUCGGCCACACUGGGACGGAGACACGGCCCAGACGCCUGCGGGAGGCAGCAGUAGGGAAUCUUCCGCAAUGGACGAAAGUCUGACGGAGCAACGCCGCGUGAGUGAUGAAGGCUUUCGGGUCGUAAAACUCUGUUGUUAGGGAAGAACAAGUGCUAGUUGAAUAAGCUGGCACCUUGACGGUACCUAACCAGAAAGCCACGGCUAACUACGUGCCAGCCGCCGCGGUAA